CGAUAACGAACGAGACCUUAACCUGCUAAAUAGUUAGGCCAACGUUUGUUGGUCGUCAACUUCUUAGAGGGACUAUUGACUAUUAGUCAAUGGAAGUUUGAGGCAAUAACAGGUCUGUGAUGCCCUUAGAUGUUCUGGGCCGCACGCGCGCUACACUGAUCAAGUCAACGAGUUUACAACCUUGGCCGGAAGGUCUAGGUAAUCUUUUGAAACUUGAUCGUGCUGGGGAUAGUCCAUUGCAAUUAUUGGACUUCAACGAGGAAUUCCUAGUAAGCGUGAGUCAUCAGCUCGCGUUGAUUACGUCCCUGCUCUUUGUACACACCGCCCGUCGCUACUACCGAUUGAAUGGCU
rnacentral:rRNA from 1 species